rnacentral:rRNA from 1 species
GAUGAACGCUGGCGGCGUGCUUAACACAUGCAAGUCGAACGGGAAUUAUUUUAUUGAAACUUCGGUCGAUUUAAUUUAAUUCUAGUAGCGGACGGGUGAGUAACGCGUGGGUAACCUGCCUUAUACAGGGGGAUAACAGUCAGAAAUGGCUGCUAAUACCGCAUAAGCGCACAGAGCUGCAUGGCUCAGUGUGAAAAACUCCGGUGGUAUAAGAUGGACCCGCGUUGGAUUAGCUGGUUGGUGGGGUAACGGCCCACCAAGGCGACGAUCCAUAGCCGGCUUGGGGGGUGGACGGCCACAUUGGGACCGAGGCACGGGCCCGGCUCCCAACGGAAGGCGGCGGGGGGAAAAAUGGACAAAGGGGGGAAACCUGAUGCAGCGACGGCGGGUUAAAGGAGGAGGAUCUCGGUAUGUAAACCUCUAUCAGCAGGGAAGGUAGUGACGGUACCCGAAUAAGAAGCCCCGGCUAACUACGU